rnacentral:rRNA from 1 species
UACGAAGGGGGCUAGCGUUGUUCGGAUUUACUGGGCGUAAGCGCACGUAGGUGGGUCGCUAAGUCGGGGUGAAAUCCUGGAGCUCAACUCCAGAACUGCCUUCGAUACUGGCGAUCUUUGAGUCCGGGAGAGGUGGGUGGAACUGCGGAGUGUAGAGGUGAAAUUCGUAGAUAUUCGCAAGAACACCAGUGGCGAAGGCGGCUCACUGGCCCGGUACUGACGCUGAGGUGCGAAAGCGGUGGGGAGCAAACAG